rnacentral:tRNA from 1 species
GCCGGGUUAGCUCAGCUGGCAGAGCAGCUGAUUUGUAAUCAGCAGGUCGUCGGUUCGAAUCCGACACCCGGCU